rnacentral:rRNA from 1 species
GACGAACGCUGGCGGCGUGCUUAACACAUGCAAGUCGAACGGAAAGGCCCUGCUUUUGUGGGGUGCUCGAGUGGCGAACGGGUGAGUAACACGUGCGUAACCUGCCCUUGACUUUGGGAUAACUUCAGGAAACUGGGGCUAAUACCGGAUAGGAGCUCCUGCUGCAUGGUGGGGGUUGGAAAGUUUCGGCGGUUGGGGAUGGACUCGCGGCUUAUCAGCUUGUUGGUGGGGUAGUGGCUUACCAAGGCUUUGACGGGUAGCCGGCCUGAGAGGGUGACCGGCCACAUUGGGACUGAGAUACGGCCCAGACUCCUACGGGAGGCAGCAGUGGGGAAUAUUGCACAAUGGGCGGAAGCCUGAUGAAGCAACGCCGCGUGCGGGAUGACGGCCUUCGGGUUGUAAACCGCUUUCGCCUGUGACGAAGCGUGAGUGACGGUAAUGGGUAAAGAAGCACCGGCUAACUACGUG